rnacentral:tRNA from 1 species
GGCCUAGUGGUCUAGUGGUAUGAUUGUCGCUUCGGGUUCGCCCAGUAGUCUCUAGGCUAUUACCAGAUUGUGACAGGCCCCGCGUUCGAAUCGCGGCUAGGCCC